GUGGGGAAUCUUGCGCAAUGGGCGAAAGCCUGACGCAGCAACGCCGCGUGCGGGAAGAAGGCCUUCGGGUUGUAAACCGCUGUCAGGAGGGACGAAGCCACUCGGGUGAAUAGCCCAGAGGGUGACGGUACCUCCAGAGGAAGCCCCGGCUAACUACGUGCCAGCAGCCGCGGUAAUACGUAGGGGGCAAGCGUUGUCCGGAAUCAUUGGGCGUAAAGCGCGUGUAGGAGGCUUGCCAAGUCCGGUGUGAAAUCUCGGGGCUCAACCCCGAAACUGCAAUGGAAACUGGCUUGCUAGAGUCCGGAAGAGGAGAUUGGAAUUCCUGGUGUAGCGGUGAAAUGCGCAGAUAUCAGGAAGAACACCCGUGGCGAAGGCGGAUCUCUGGGACGGUACUGACGCUGAGACGCGAAAGCGUGGGGAGCGAACAGGAUUAGAAACCCGUGUAGUCC
rnacentral:rRNA from 1 species